rnacentral:misc_RNA from 1 species
GAUGAAGAACGUAGCGAAAUGCGAUACGUAAUGUGAAUUGCAGAUUUCAGUGAAUCAUCGAAUCUUUGAACGCACAUUGCGCCCGCUAGUAUUCUGGCGGGCAUGCCUGUUCGAGCGUCAUUUCAACCAUCAAGCCCUAGGCUUGCGUUGGAGCCCUGCGGCUGCCGCAGGCUCCCAAAUCCAGUGGCGGGCUCGUCGUCGUACCGAGUGCAGUAAACAUCCUCGCUCAGGGAACGUGACGGGUUCUUGCCGUGAAACCCCCCACAUAUCAAGGUUGACCUCGGAUCAGGUAGGAAUACCCGCUGAACUUAAGCAUAUCAAUAAGCGGAAGA